rnacentral:rRNA from 1 species
ACGGGAGGCAGCAGUGAGGAAUAUUGGUCAAUGGGCGAGAGCCUGAACCAGCCAAGUAGCGUGAAGGAUGACUGCCCUACGGGUUGUAAACUUCUUUUAUACGGGAAUAAAAAAGGCCACGUGUGGCCUCUUGUAUGUACCGUAUGAAUAAGCAUCGGCUAAUUCCGUGCCAGCAGCCGCGGUAAUACGGAAGGUCCGGGCGUUAUCCGGAUUUAUUGGGUUUAAAGGGAGCGUAGGCCGUGCUUUAAGCGUGUUGUGAAAUGUAGGCGCCCAACGUCUGCACUGCAGCGCGAACUGGAGCACUUGAGUACGCAGGAAGUAGGCGGAAUUCGUCGUGUAGCGGUGAAAUGCUUAGAUAUGACGAAGAACUCCGAUUGGGAAGCCAGCUUACUGUAGCGCCACUGACGCUGAUGCUCGAAAGCGUGGGUAUCGAACAGGAUUAGAUACCCUGGUA